GACGAACGCUGGCGGCGUGCCUAAUACAUGCAAGUUGAGCGCUGAAGGUUGGUACUUGUACCCACUGGAUGAGCAGCGAACGGGUGAGUAACGCGUGGGGAAUCUGCCUUUGAGCGGGGGACAACAUUUGGAAACGAAUGCUAAUACCGCAUAAAAACUUUAAACACAAGUUUUAAGUUUGAAAGAUGCAAUUGCAUCACUCAAAGAUGAUCCCGCGUUGUAUUAGCUAGUUGGUGAGGUAAAGGCUCACCAAGGCGAUGAUACAUAGCCGACCUGAGAGGGUGGUCGGCCACAUUGGGACUGAGACACGGCCCAAACUCCUACGGGAGGCAGCAGUAGGGAAUCUUCGGCAAUGGACGAAAGUCUGACCGAGCAACGCCGCGUGAGUGAAGAAGGUUUUCGGAUCGUAAAACUCUGUUGGUAGAGAAGAACGUUGGUGAGAGUGAAAAGCUCAUCAAGUGACGGUAACUACCCAGAAAGGGACGGCUAACUACGUG
rnacentral:rRNA from 1 species